GAUGAACGCUGGCGGCGUGCCUAAUACAUGCAAGUCGAGCGAACGGACGAGAAGCUUGCUUUUCUGAUGUUAGCGGCGGACGGGUGAGUAACACGUGGAUAACCUACCUAUAAGACUGGGAUAACUUCGGGAAACCGGAGCUAAUACCGUAUAAUAUUUUAAACCUCAUUGUUCAAAAGUGAAAGACGGUCUUGCUGUCACUUAUAGAUGGAUCCGCGCUGCAUUAGCUAGUUGGUAAGGUAACGGCUUACCAAGGCAACGAUGCAUAGCCGACCUGAGAGGGUGAUCGGCAACAUGGGAACUGAGACAGGGUCCAGACUCCUACGGGAGGCAGCAGUAGGGAAUCUUCGGCAAUGGGCGAAGGCCUGACGGAGCAACGCCGCGUGAGUGAUGAAGGUCUUCGGAUCGUAAAACUCUGUUAUUAGGGAAGAACAUAUGUGUAAGUAAAUGUGCACAUCUUGACGGUACCUAAUCAGAAAGCCACGGCUAACUACGUG
rnacentral:rRNA from 1 species